GGGAGCACCACAAGUGUUGGAGCCUGCGGGUUUAAUUGGAGUCUACGCCGGGAAUCUUACCGAGGUCUACAGCAUGAUGAAGGCCAGGCUAACGACUUGUGCCAGACACGCUGAGAGGAAGGUGCAUGUCCGUCGUCAGCUCGUGCCGUGAGGCGUCCGCUUAAGUCCGGCAACGAGCGAGAUCCCCACCCCCAGUUGCGAUCCCGAUCCCUGGAUCGGGAGCACACUGGGGGGACUGCCGCCGAUAAGGCGGAGGAAGGAGGGGGCCACGUCAGGUCAGCAUGCCCCGAAUCCCUCGGGCUACACGCGGGCUACAAUGUUGGGUACAGCGGGUGCCGACCCCGAAAGGGGAAGGCAAUCCCUGAAACCCCGCCGUGGUUGGGAUCGAGGGCUGUAACUCGCCUUCGUGAACGUGGAAUCCCUAGUAACCGCGCGUCA
rnacentral:rRNA from 1 species